AGAGUUUGAUCCUGGCUCAGAACGAACGCUGGCGGCAGGCUUAACACAUGCAAGUCGAACGCCCCGCAAGGGGAGUGGCAGACGGGUGAGUAACGCGUGGGAACCUACCCUAUGGUUCGGGAUAACCCAGGGAAACUUGGGCUAAUACCGGAUGUGUCCUUUGGGAGAAAGAUUUAUCGCCAUAGGAUGGGCCCGCGUCGGAUUAGCUGGUUGGUGGGGUAACGGCCUACCAAGGCGACGAUCCGUAGCUGGUCUGAGAGGAUGAUCAGCCACACUGGGACUGAGACACGGCCCAGACUCCUACGGGAGGCAGCAGUGGGGAAUAUUGGACAAUGGGCGCAAGCCUGAUCCAGCCAUGCCGCGUGAGUGAAGAAGGCCUUAGGGUUGUAAAGCUCUUUCAGCGGGGAAGAUAAUGACGGUACCCGCAGAAGAAGCCCCGGCUAACUUCGUGCCAGCAGCCGCGGUAAUACGAAGGGGGCUAGCGUUGUUCGGAAUUACUGGGCGUAAAGCGCGCGUAGGCGGGUUGUUAAGUCAGGGGUGAAAUGCCGAGGCUCAACCUCGGAACUGCCUUUGAUACUGGCGGCCUGGAGUACGGGAGAGGUGAGUGGAAUUUCGAGUGUAGAGGUGAAAUUCGUAGAUAUUCGGAGGAACACCAGAAGCGAAGGCGGCUCACUGGCCCGAUACUGACGCUGAGGCGCGAAAGCGUGGGGGAGCAAACAGGAUUAGAUACCCUAGUAGUCC
rnacentral:rRNA from 1 species